UAUUUUAAAUUAUAAAUUGAUUUAUCUACCUAAGUAUUAUGAAUGUGUAUUUGAAAUUUAAAGGACUUGGCGGUGUUUUAGACUACUUAGGGGAACCUGUUUUUUAAUCGAUAAUCCUCGUUUUACCUUACCUCUUUUUGUUUUCAGUUUGUAUACCGUCGUCGUCAGUUAACUUUAAAGAAAAUAAAAGUUGUCUUUUUAAAUUUUAGUUUUUGAUGUCAGAUCAAGGUGCAGUUUAUAAAGUAGGUUAAUAUGGGUUACAAUUAUUUAAUUAUAAUUAUGAAUAAUUUUAUGUAAUAUAUUAUUUGAAAGAGGACUUAAAAGUAAUUUAAUUUAGAUAUAUUUAAUGAAUGUAGCUCUUAAAUGUGCACACACCGCCCGUCACCCUCA
rnacentral:rRNA from 1 species